rnacentral:misc_RNA from 1 species
UUUGGGCCAAUAGUCACAAAACAGUGAAUGCAGUGACCUCUAAACUUCUAGAAAAAGCAAACUCUUGAGUAAUUUAAAAUUUUCGUCUGUUCAACUCGCUUCGUCACAGUUGAAUCAAAGUUCACAAUUGCCAAUUACAAAGCAAAGUUGUUCGUGGAGUUUAAAGCAGUAAGCACUAUCGAUUGUUCGGUGUUCCGUCGAUCAGUGAAUCGAUCGAUCGGCGAUUAGCGAAAAAGUCUACGAACCAAUCGUUGUACUUGCUCUCAUCGUAAAAAUAUAUUUUUUUUACAAAAAUAUUUAUCAGACUACAAAAAUGACUUAAGCCGAGGAGGAUUGCACUUUUAAAAAAAACACUGAUCACGAUUAUUACGUCGUUACAUUGUGUGCGUUCAAUUUAUCCUUUUGACGGUGGCGUGACAACGAUAUUAACAAAAAGUUCAAAGAAGCCCUGGAAAAUCUCAUUUUACAAUUUGUCAACGCGAAAUCAACAAUUGGAAACGGAUUAGCGCAGAAAAAAAUUUCAGAGCGUCCAUGUGCAAGAAUCAGGAAAUGAGGGGAAGGUUAGUCGUGCGAUUUUCGGGACUAUGGCUAUUGGCGAUAGUUCUGUCGUGCUCACCGUUUAAUUAUUUAGUCGAGGCUGAACCCGAGCCCGUUCCCCCGAGUCUCAUCUACAGCGAUAGUUACGUCGACGAUGCUGAAAGCUUCCUAUUGCUCCAAAGGCUGAGACAAAUAGCAGGCCGUAAACACGAAGUGCUCGAACAAGCCCGGGAACUUGAGAACGAAAAAAUGGUGAUUCAGGGUAUGCUCGACGAGCAAGAGGAGGCGCGGAGAAAUCAACGCAUGCAUCAGUCCGUGCAGAAUGAUUACUCCGGCGAAGACAUCGAAAUGUUGCCCAUACCGAGCGCGAUUGUUCAUCAUGGACCCGUGCAUUCAGGAAAACGAACCAGUUACAUGACGCUGUGUCAUUUCAAAAUUUGCAACAUGGGUCGAAAGCGUCAAUUGUGAGUGUUGCAAGUAUCCGAUCGAGAGAAUCUGCGCCUCGCGAGUCAUUGAUACAACCCCGUUCAAUUGCCCCAUUCGCUACACUCAAUUUCCUUUAGAACUUCAAAUGCGCAUGCAAACAAGAAUAACGAGAGAAACGACAGAUGAGGAAAAGAGCGUCAAAACUGUGCACAAAAACCGACGAUUGAUGGGAAAAAAGAUCUUGGCGAAACACGAAGAAGCAAAUUAUGCCCAAUGAAAGAACAAUGACGGGGAUUUGACGUACAUGACCGUUGGGAAUUGAAAAUGGGCAAUGAAAGAGGAAGAAAGUAGAAAACAACGAAAAACCAUAUACACACGCAGUCGAUUCGGAAGGACUACCGGGAAUUGACUCUCCGAUCACGAUCAACGCUGGCCAUGUUGUCCACAUUAAAAAUUCAUCGCGGAAGUCAGCCGAAAGAGAAAGGUUGGCGUCAAUGGACAAAUGUUCAUGAAGAACGUUCGAAAUGUGGGCGGCCGAUACUUUGUGCACAAUGGCAAUUUCGAUCUCUCGAUAUUCAAGUACGUAACGUGAUGAAAAUAAAAUUCAAUUUGUCGCACAAAAAAAAUCAUAAAGCAUAUGAGAUUUAUUAUGAACGAAAAACUUGACAUUCAAUUCAAAAAUGCAAUCACGUCGAUAGAACACAAAAUUAGUACGCAUGCGAACACAUAGACACGCGCGCACACACACACACACACACACACACACGCACACUCAUGGGCGCGCACGAGCACGCAGCACAAUCUUUAGUAUUUAACAGUCUAAUGCGGAGGCUUUGCAUUCGAAGGAAUUAGUAUGAGCUUCAUGAGUCUUUCAUGUAAUUCACUUUCAUAGAGUUUAUUAUAUCUGAUAAUUUUUAUUCUAUAGCGAUGACGAAAUGCCAAAGUUGUUUGACAAGUAUUUCUAAAGAUUUUCUACCUCUCCAUCUCUUUACAUUGUCCGUAUGUGUUUGCUCACAUCGCUCUAAUGUCAGUCAAAUCAUAAAUUAUUUAGUCAAGUUUUUUAUCCCACGGUUUUCGCACGUGAUUAUAGUUAACUCGAAUUUCGUGAAUACGCUUUCGCCGGAACGGGUUCGUAUUUUUGUAAUUACAUUAACUUUCCGAUUGGCUGGUUCCAUCCGAAAUGUAAAAUAUAUUCAAGAGGAAAGCCCUUCGUCCCUUCGUCGGAACACGUAAUAAAAAAUCACUUGACAUUAAGCUUUUCCAUCAACAACCCUCAACCUCCGGCACAUCGAUUCAACGUGCUUUGUUUCAAUGUUUUCAAUGUUUUCUUCACCCCGAUUGUACCUGCGAACCAAUUUUUUUCACAUACAUUUCUGUAUGAAGCCUUCACGAGCGUUUUGUCAAUACGAAUAAAAAGGAGGAUUUUAUCCAUAUCAAGAAAUCUUCACAAUUGUCACAACGAUUUUCUUAACCCGUAGACACGACACUGGUGCAAAUUUGCACCCACGAAAAUUUCAAGUCUCUAGAACUUCAAAAUGCCUUUUCUUUAAUUUGGCCAUUUUUCUACAAUAAAACUCGAUUUUUCAAUUUUUUUAAUCACCGUAAUCGAUUACUAAGGAAUUGUUACCCCUAAAAAGUCUCGUUGUAAGAUUAAUUCCAUACAUUUGAAAUAAAGACGAUUUGAAAAGUCCAAGUGCACAUUUGCACCAGUCUGGUGAGUGUGUGACCUCAAAGGGAGUGUCGUGUCUACGGGUUAAUCACAGAUCCACACACGAAAAGAAUAUUACACGCAAAAACACUGCGGUGGAGAAGACGUGAAAUUACUGGAUGAUUUACCAUUUUUAUGGAAAAUCAUUUUUUUUUACUUUUAUUGUAAAAUUGUAAUCUGUUAUUACAAAUAACAGUAAAUAAUUGUGAAAUGAUGACGAAAGAAAAUAAUAUUAUAUCAAUGUACACAUUACACGGGUUUAAUGCGAAUUCACAAUAACAACACUGAAGUUAUCAACAGUACAAUAUUCUUGGCGUGUGUUGGGCGAUGGAAUUUGAAAGUAAAUCGGGCUCUGAUUCUCUUUAAUCGAAUUAUUUAUACUCGUCGAUGCACCCGUAGAAACUCAAAAAGAAUGGACUUUUGCCUACAGAAAAAGUGCAUGUUGCCGAAGCAUGUAAGUAGCUUGAAAAAACAGUUUUCAUUAAAUUUCAACUCUGCAACUGUUUUUGACUCUGCUUAGUUCUUAAAUUGGAGUUAAAUAUGCCCGGAAAAUAAUUGAUGGGCUGAUAAAAGUUUCAAAGGCACUAUUAGAAGAAUAGUCAACCCCUGAAGCAGAGUCUCUAAAACGUAGGAGAGAUAAGACCCCGAAAAUUCCGUUAGAAAACGAAUAGCCAAAGCAACUUGCGUUCAAGGACUGUAGAGGGCGAGCCUCAUCCAGGAAACAAUGAAAAUUCUAUUUUUAUUACACGAAUAUAUGUAAAAUAAGGGAUUCACUAAAAAUCUAUCGGAAUAUCCGCAAUAAAAAAGUUCUCCGAUCGGUGAAGAAAUAUUCGCGUUUAAUCUGCGAACAACUUUUUUGUUGGUGGUAUAUCACUUUUAUGGGAUGUUGAUUUACGGGCGUUGAAAAACUUUGGAAGCAAAGUCUUCGUUUGCUACUUUUCAUGAUCGACAUAAACGUUACAAAAUGAAGCAUAAAAAAAGGUGGCAAAGAGUUGCAUCGACGUGCAGUGACCGUUUAACGUCAAUUUAUUUCGGCUUAAGAAUCUACUCGUCAGUUGAGUUCACAGAUAUGUAAUAAAUAUGUAUAAAUAAAUGAUUUCGUUGAAAGGCCACACGUAAAUAUUGCAUCGUGAAAAAAAAAAGUGUGAUAAAUGCGCAGUGUCUCCAAGCAGGCUCUGAUGACAAAAAUACUUACCAAAAGCGCGACAAUUGUGCGUAUCAUAUUUAUUCUCGUAGAUAUUACUGAUGUGUGUAGCAAGGGUGCAGGGUUUAUUGGUGUCCCGAUGAUUAAUUCGUAAAAAUAUAAAUGUGAAAAAAAAAAAAAAACAAAAAAAAGAACGAGCGAGGUUGCAAAAUCAUCGAUUACGGACGAAUGUUACAUUCAACGUAGUUAUGUCUAUAGUAUGAAAAAGUGCAAAAAAAUCGCGCACAAAUUUAUGGUUAUGGAAGUCAAAAAUUAAUUGGUGUAUCGCGUUAUGUUACUUUCAUAAAAUCAUGUUUCAUUCUAAGCUAAAUUUCAUUUUGAAUAAUCAUAUUUUAUUGUUAUUAUGAACCAGGUGUCUCUGAUUUUGAGAAUACAAAAAAAAGCAAUAAACGUAUAUUAUCUGGAAAAGCAGCAAAAAUAUCUGUGACGAAGAUACACCUGACUUAUUUAUAUCAACUCUUGUGUCUUUUGUACACUGUGCAGAAAAGUCGUGUGUAGAUACUUUACUUAGAAAUGCUAAAAACAUCAAUUUUGAUCGAUAUUUGAGAAUGGAAGUCGUGAGUAUAUAGAAAAAAAACAGUGUUAGAUUGUGUACGAGAGGGUGUGAAAAUGGAGUGAGAAACAGAAUGGACAAAAAUAAAUCUGAACAAUUAUUAGCAAGAUAAA